AUUGAACGCUGGCGGCAGGCCUAACACAUGCAAGUCGAACGGUAACAGGAAGCAGCUUGCUGCUUCGCUGACGAGUGGCGGACGGGUGAGUAAUGUCUGGGAAGCUGCCUGAUGGAGGGGGAUAACUACUGGAAACGGUAGCUAAUACCGCAUAAUGUCGCAAGACCAAAGAGGGGGACCUUCGGGCCUCUUGCCAUCGGAUGUGCCCAGAUGGGAUUAGCUUGUUGGUGGGGUAACGGCUCACCAAGGCGACGAUCCCUAGCUGGUCUGAGAGGAUGACCAGCCACACUGGAACUGAGACACGGUCCAGACUCCUACGGGAGGCAGCAGUGGGGAAUAUUGCACAAUGGGCGCAAGCCUGAUGCAGCCAUGCCGCGUGUAUGAAGAAGGCCUUCGGGUUGUAAAGUACUUUCAGAGGGGAGGAAGGGAGUAAAGUUAAUACCUUUGCUAAUUGACGUUACCCGCAGAAGAAGCACCGGCUAACUCCGUG
rnacentral:rRNA from 1 species